GCUUACGGCCAUACCAGCCUGAAUACACCCGAUCUCGUCCGAUCUCGGAAGCUAAGCAGGGUCGGGCCUGGUUAGUACUUGGAUGGGAGACCGCCUGGGAAUACCAGGUGCUGUAAGCG
ensembl:rRNA 5S_rRNA 5S ribosomal RNA